rnacentral:rRNA from 1 species
UGGGGAAUAUUGCACAAUGGGGGAAACCCUGAUGCAGCGACGCCGCGUGAACGAAGAAGGUAUUCGUAUCGUAAAGUUCUGUCCUAUGGGAAGAUAAUGACAGUACCAUAGAAGAAAGCUCCGGCUAAAUACGUGCCAGCAGCCGCGGUAAUACGUAUGGAGCGAGCGUUGUCCGGAAUUAUUGGGCGUAAAGGGUACGCAGGCGGUUUAAUAAGUCGAAUGUUAAAGAUCGGGGCUCAACCCCGUAAAGCAUUGGAAACUGAUAAACUUGAGUAGUGGAGAGGAAAGUGGAAUUCCUAGUGUAGUGGUGAAAUACGUAGAUAUUAGGAGGAAUACCAGUAGCGAAGGCGACUUUCUGGACACAAACUGACGCUGAGGUACGAAAGCGUGAAGAGCAAACAGG